UGAACGCUGGCGGCGUGCCUACUACAUGCAAGUCGAGCGACCAGACGAGGAGCUUGCUCCUCUGACGUUAGCGGCGGACGGGUGAGUAACACGUGGAUAACCUACCUAUAAGACUGGGAUAACUUCGGGAAACCGGAGCUAAUACCGGAUAAUAUAUUGAACCGCAUGGUUCAAUAGUGAAAGACGGUUUUGCUGUCACUUAUAGAUGGAUCCGCGCCGCAUUAGCUAGUUGGUAAGGUAACGGCUUACCAAGGCAACGAUGCGUAGCCGACCUGAGAGGGUGAGCGGCAAAACGAGAAAAGAGACACGGUCCAGACUCCUGAGGGAGGAAGGAGUGGGGAAUAUUGCAGAGGGGGCGAAGGCCGGACGGAGCACGGCCGAGUGAGGAAUAAGGGUCUUAGAAUCGUAAAACUUUUUUAUUGGGGAAAAAAAAAGGUGAAAAUAAGUUGACGCGACUUGAGGUAACCUAAACAGAAGACCACGGAAAACCCCGGC
rnacentral:rRNA from 1 species